AUGAAAUAUUACUUAAUGAUUGGUUAAUACCAGGACCUUUACUUUUUCGUUGAGUAAACGGUGUCGACUGCCUAAUUUAUAAACGAUCAUAAACAUCUCUAUGGAGAAUCCCAUUCAUUUCGCUCAGCAUUAGGAACGAAACCGCUAGGGGGCGACUUGAUUAGUUUCCCUCCCUAUGUCUGCCAUCUCCGCACACUACUGACAAUAUUUGGACUUUUAUUUUGACAAAAUGUCGAAUGGUGACCAUAUUGAAAUUUCCGGUUGGUUCCACCGCUCAUGGUUGAACUCAGCUACCUGCUCGCAUCGGCACAACUAUACAGUAUCUGUGGACAGUUAAGUAGGUUGUCUAUUGAAUGAAGGAAAUAUGUAAAUUUGACUAAUUGGGUAAAGUCUUGCCGGUCAAACAACUUAGGAUAGCUAAGUGAACAUUAGCUACCCAUCUCUGUGUAGCUACGUCCUCAGUGUUAAGUUAAUAUGGAGCCAGAGGUUUUGACUGCUCAACGGGACGAAAUGAAGAAUGUACUGGAGGUGGUUAACGGCAGCCUUUCGGAGUCGUAUAACGUUAACUUCCAUCAUAAUGAAGCCAGUUCACUGAGACUCAUUCACAAAGAAGAAUAUACAUUGAUAACUUAACACCUGAUGACAAACUACAAUAGUCCAACUGGACACUUUCAGGAUGAAUUACAUGAGGUACAUACAUUGCGUAUUGUGGGUAAAAACAUGUCUUAAAGUCAGGGUAGGCAAUUCAGGAGAAACCAGCCAGAGUAAGAUAGAUUUUGAAAGCCCAUUCUUUCAGACCCCUCCAAAGCCACACCUCAAACACAUGAACGUGCUGUCCUGUUUGACUACUGCUGGGGCACAAGUCUUAUGAGAGGGCUUUGGAGAUGAGUGCAGAGAAUUGUUGUAAUUGCUAAUGUAUUCAACUGUAACUGCUUCAUAUCUCAUUCUCACAGCUACAAAAACACAAAUAAGCUACAUCACCUCAUUUGUAAACCGUCCUGUUCAAAGCCUGUAUAGACUAACAUAAGAUAAAAUACCCACAGAUGACACUUGCUCACAACAACAGUGCAGAAACCGGCAAACAUAUACACAGAUAGAUUACAUUCA
ensembl:lncRNA